GGGUUGUGAGGUUAAGUGACUAAGCGUACACGGUGGAUGCCUAGGCAGUCAGAGGCGAUGAAGGACGUGCUAAUCUGCGAUAAGCGUCGGUGAGCUGAUAUGAAGCGUUAUUAGCCGGCGAUGUCCGAAUGGGGAAACCCAGUGCAAUCCGUUGCACUAUCGUUAAGUGAAUCCAUAGCUUAACGAGGCGAACCAGGGGAACUGAAACAUCUAAGUACCCUGAGGAAAAGAAAUCAACCGAGAUUCCCCCAGUAGCGGCGAGCGAACGGGGAAGAGCCCAGAACCUGAAUCAGUUUGUGCAUUAGUGGAAGCGUCUGGAAAGUCGCGCGAUACAGGGUGAUAGCCCCGUACACGAAGGUGCACAGCUGUGAGUUCGAUGAGUAGGGCGGGACACGUGUUAUCCUGUCUGAAUAUGGGGGGACCAUCCUCCAAGGCUAAAUACUCCUGACUGACCGAUAGUGAACCAGUACCGUGAGGGAAAGGCGAAAAGAACCCCGGCGAGGGGAGUGAAAUAGAACCUGAAACCGUGUACGUACAAGCAGUGGGAGCACCCUUUUGGGUGUGACUGCGUACCUUUUGUAUAAUGGGUCAGCGACUUAUAUUUUGUAGCAAGGUUAACCGAAUAGGGGAGCCGUAGGGAAACCGAGUCUUAACUGGGCGUCUAGUUGCAAGGUAUAGACCCGAAACCCGGUGAUCUAGCCAUGGGCAGGUUGAAGGUUGGGUAACACUAACUGGAGGACCGAACCGACUAAUGUUGAAAAAUUAGCGGAUGACUUGUGGCUGGGGGUGAAAGGCCAAUCAAACCGGGAGAUAGCUGGUUCUCCCCGAAAGCUAUUUAGGUAGCGCCUCGUGAACUCAUCUUCGGGGGUAGAGCACUGUUUCGGCUAGGGGGUCAUCCCGACUUACCAACCCGAUGCAAACUACGAAUACCGAAGAAUGUUAUCACGGGAGACACACGGCGGGUGCUAACGUCCGUCGUGAAGAGGGAAACAACCCAGACCGCCAGCUAAGGUCCCAAAGUCAUGGUUAAGUGGGAAACGAUGUGGGAAGGCACAGACAGCCAGGAUGUUGGCUUAGAAGCAGCCAUCAUUUAAAGAAAGCGUAAUAGCUCACUGGUCGAGUCGGCCUGCGCGGAAGAUGUAACGGGGCUAAACCAUGCACCGAAGCUGCGGCAGCGACGCUUAGGCGUUGUUGGGUAGGGGAGCGUUCUGUAAGCCGUUGAAGGUGGCCUGUGAGGGCUGCUGGAGGUAUCAGAAGUGCGAAUGCUGACAUAAGUAACGAUAAAGCGGGUGAAAAGCCCGCUUGCCGGAAGACCAAGGGUUCCUGUCCAACGUUAAUCGGGGCAGGGUAAGUCGACCCCUAAGGCGAGGCCGAAAGGCGUAGUCGAUGGGAAACAGGUUAAUAUUCCUGUACUUGGUGUUAUUGCGAAGGGGGGACGGAGAAGGCUAGACCGGCCGGGCGACGGUUGUCCCGGUUUAAGCGUGUAGGUGUGAUGACCUGGCAAAUCCGGUUAUCUUUAACACUGAGGCGUGAUGACGAGGCACUACGGUGCUGAAGUGGUUAAUGCCCUGCUUCCAGGAAAAGCCUCUAAGCUCCAGAUAACACUGAAUCGUACCCCAAACCGACACAGGUGGUCAGGUAGAGAAUACCAAGGCGCUUGAGAGAACUCGGGUGAAGGAACUAGGCAAAAUGGUGCCGUAACUUCGGGAGAAGGCACGCUGGCAUGUAGGUGAAGUCCCUCGCGGAUGGAGCCGAAGCCAGUCGAAGAUACCAGCUGGCUGCAACUGUUUAAUAAAAACACAGCACUCUGCAAACACGAAAGUGGACGUAUAGGGUGUGACGCCUGCCCGGUGCUGGAAGGUUAAUUGAUGGGGUCAGCCGCAAGGCGAAGCUCUUGAUCGAAGCCCCAGUAAACGGCGGCCGUAACUAUAACGGUCCUAAGGUAGCGAAAUUCCUUGUCGGGUAAGUUCCGACCUGCACGAAUGGCGUAAUGAUGGCCAGGCUGUCUCCACCCGAGACUCAGUGAAAUUGAACUCGCUGUGAAGAUGCAGUGUACCCGCGGCAAGACGGAAAGACCCCGUGAACCUUUACUAUAGCUUGACACUGAACAUUGAACCUUGAUGUGUAGGAUAGGUGGGAGGCUUUGAAGUGUGGACGCCAGUCUGCAUGGAGCCGACCUUGAAAUACCACCCUUUAAUGUUUGAUGUUCUAACCUGGUCCCGUGAUCCGGGAUAGGGACAGUGUCUGGUGGGUAGUUUGACUGGGGCGGUCUCCUCCCAAAGAGUAACGGAGGAGCACGAAGGUUAGCUAAUCCUGGUCGGACAUCAGGAGGUUAGUGCAAAGGCAUAAGCUAGCUUGACUGCGAGAGUGACGGCUCGAGCAGGUGCGAAAGCAGGUCUUAGUGAUCCGGUGGUUCUGAAUGGAAGGGCCAUCGCUCAACGGAUAAAAGGUACUCCGGGGAUAACAGGCUGAUACCGCCCAAGAGUUCAUAUCGACGGCGGUGUUUGGCACCUCGAUGUCGGCUCAUCACAUCCUGGGGCUGAAGUAGGUCCCAAGGGUAUGGCUGUUCGCCAUUUAAAGUGGUACGCGAGCUGGGUUUAGAACGUCGUGAGACAGUUCGGUCCCUAUCUGCCGUGGGCGUUGGAAGAUUGAGAGGGGCUGCUCCUAGUACGAGAGGACCGGAGUGGACGCACCGCUGGUGUUCGGGUUGUGAUGCCAAUUGCAUUGCCCGGUAGCUACGUGCGGAAAAGAUAAGCGCUGAAAGCAUCUAAGCGCGAAACUUGCCUCGAGAUGAGUCUUCCCUUGGACCUUGAGUCCACUGAAGGAACGUUUAAGACUAAGACGUUGAUAGGCUGGGUGUGUAAGCGUAGCGAUACGUUGAGCUAACCAGUACUAAUGAUCCGAGAGGCUUAACCUUACAACACCGAAGGUGUUUUAG
rnacentral:rRNA from 1 species